rnacentral:lncRNA from 1 species
GGUUCAGUCAAUACAAUCUGGGUUAUCUUGAUGUGUCUAUUUUGUGGUAUGAGAGCAAGGACUUGGGUAGUGGUUACAUUGUAAUGUUUUGAUUUUAUUGAGGUUUCAUUUCGUUGAUCUAUAUCUCGGUAAUGUUAUUCAUCGUCCAUCUCUUGUUUAUAAUUGAAGUGUUUCCUUAGAUCAUUACAAGUGUGGCAUAUUGGGUAAUUAUUUGACUUAUGUUCCUAUAUUUUUUUUUAUAUAUAUAUAUUUAAGCUACAAUGCUGAUAUGAUGCUAUUGUCCUUUAAUUUUUUACGAUUCAGGGUAAUAAGGUUUAUGAUAAAGUUUGAAGGUUCAUUCAAAAGUGGCAACAGUGGCUGCUUUGUUUUAGAACAUGUUGAGCAUGAGCGACCUGAGGUAAUUGUUUGUAGAGAUUUAUGUAACCUUGUCUGAUUUUGUAUCUUUGCGUUUCCGUCAAUGUUCUCUGUGUCUUAUCGAUUUGACUUAGAGUUAGUUAAUGAUGAACUUUUAUUUUUAUCCCAAGUGAACCUUUAAUAGCUCAAACUAUUACAUUGACUAUAUGUUGUUAUAUGGUAUAAGGCAUGGUUUAUCCAAUAUAUAAGCUGAGUUUUGUUGAACUAUGC